rnacentral:rRNA from 1 species
AGAACGAACGCUGGCGGCAUGCCUAACACAUGCAAGUCGAACGAACUCUUCGGAGUUAGUGGCGCACGGGUGCGUAACGCGUGGGAAUCUGCCCUUGGGUACGGAAUAACUCAGAGAAAUUUGUGCUAAUACCGUAUAAUGACUUACGGUCCAAAGAUUUAUCGCCCAAGGAUGAGCCCGCCGUAAGAUUAGCUAGUUGGUGGGGUAAAGGCCUAACACGGCUACGAGUCUUUAGCUGGUCUGAGAGGAUGAUCAGCCACACUGGGACCUGAGACACGGCCCAGACUCCUACGGGAGGCCAGGCAGUGGGGAAUAGUUGGACAAGUGGGACGAAAGCCUGAUCCGAGCGAAUGACCGCGUGAGUGAUAGAAGGCCGUUAGGUUGGUAAAGU